rnacentral:piRNA from 1 species
CUGAGUAGCUUCUAAAUCUUUUGUAGA